AAAGAUACACCUCACAGGAGUUCGAGAGUUUGAGCCAGAUUGUCCACCGAUUGUCUGGACAGGAGGUACGUUCCUUCGAUCCACGGAGGAAUUUCCAGAAGAAGGUGGCGUUCCUGGAGGAGUUAGAGGAUGAGGAAGAUGUUGAAGUCGGACUUGCAGAGUGGAUCAAGGGGAAGAAGCCGAUAUCAUGCCCAUUCGGCAAAAAGGAACCGGAGGU
rnacentral:lncRNA from 1 species